rnacentral:piRNA from 1 species
UGAGGUGGAAACCAAUUGCAUGGAUCAAAUGU